UUGAGGGAGACCAAAGAAGUCUAGAGAGGGAAAAUCCCAGUCAAAAACUUCCAUGAGGUCAGGACAAGGGAAAAAGCAAGCACAAGCACCUUCAAACUCAGCUAUUCGAGGUCAAAGAACAGAACCUUGAAAACUGCAUAGCCAAAAAGUCAAAAGUCAAAAAGUCCAGGGGAGUGUGUCAAAGACAGACAACCCGAAAUGAAAAAAAUGGUCAAGCGACCAAGAGCUGACGGUGGAUACCUAGGCACACAGAG
rnacentral:misc_RNA from 1 species